AGUUGCUAAGGUUGAGGAACCCUGUUAAAGGUUGAGGAACCCUGUUAUAUAGGGCUAAUGCACACAUAACAAAGAAGAUAAGGAUGUAGAUAGGACAUUGGAUCAAGCACAACACUGCAGGAUUACUGAUACACACUGAAGCGGUGGGAGGACCUGCAAAGGGAAACAAGAAUGAAUGACACUGUGGUGUGUGGUGAUAAGGAGCUAUAAAACAAGAGCUGCUGUCAGCAUGCCAACAGCCUCUUCCUUUGCAAGAAUCACCAGGAGACUGGAUUCAAGUCAUUCAGAGAGCUUAUCUCAAGCACAAAUAGUGCGUCAAUCUUCUCUCAAAUUGUGUCUUCCUGAUGUGUCCCAACUAUAACUUCCCACAAUUCCCAGCCAGCAUGAAGCUGAGGUUGCUGCAAAUUGUAAUGCUGUGUGUUGAGGAACCCUGGUUUAGAGGAUGUAAAAAUGGGGAAGGCUGAUCAGUCUGCUGCUAAGACUUGUUGUUACUGUCACUCUUCCAUGCUUUUUAUCUCACUAUAGCUGGUAAACAACAUAAUUAGAUUGUGGUGUCAAGCCUAUGGUUUCUACUACUCUUUGGAAAAACGAGUGAAUAAAAUAUUAUCUAACUAAAUUUGA